GUAGGGAAUAUUGGACAAUGGGGGCAACCCUGAUCCAGCGACGCCGCGUGAGUGAUGAAGGCCUUCGGGUCGUAAAGCUCUGUUGCAGGGGAAGAACACAAUGACGGUACCCUGCUAGAAAGGAUCGGCUAACUUCGUGCCAGCAGCCGCGGUAAGACGAGGGAUCCUAGCGUUGUUCGGAAUUAUUGGGCGUAAAGCGGGUGCAGGUGGCUUGGUAAGUCAGAUGUGAAAGCCUGGGGCUUAACCCCAGAAGUGCAUUUGAUACUGCUGAGCUUGAGUGCUGGAGAGGCUAGUAGAAUUCCUGGUGUAGUGGUGAAAUACGUAGAUAUCAGGAGGAAUACCGGAGGCGAAGGCGGAUAGCUGGCCAGACACUGACACUCAGACCCGAAAGCGUGGGGAUCAAACAGGAUUAGAUACCCUAGUAGUCC
rnacentral:rRNA from 1 species